AGCGAACGCUGGCGGCAGGCUUAACACAUGCAAGUCGAACGGGCAUAGCAAUAUGUCAGUGGCAGACGGGUGAGUAACGCGUGGGAACGUACCUUUUGGUUCGGAACAACACAGGGAAACUUGUGCUAAUACCGGAUAAGCCCUUACGGGGAAAGAUUUAUCGCCGCAAGAUCGGCCCGCGUCUGAUUAGCUAGUUGGUAGGGUAAUGGCCUACCAAGGCGACGAUCAGUAGCUGGUCUGAGAGGAUGAUCAGCCACAUUGGGACUGAGACACGGCCCAAACUCCUACGGGAGGCAGCAGUGGGGAAUAUUGGACAAUGGGCGAAAGCCUGAUCCAGCCAUGCCGCGUGAGUGAUGAAGGCCCUAGGGUUGUAAAGCUCUUUUGUGCGGGAAGAUAAUGGCGGUACCGCAAGAAUAAGCCCCGGCUAACUUCGUG
rnacentral:rRNA from 1 species